CAAAAACUGCAUUACUUUUGC
rnacentral:miRNA from 1 species